GAUGAAGAACGUAGCGAAAUGCGAUAAGUGAUGUGAAUUGCAGAUUUCCAGUGAAUCAUCGAAUCUUUGAACGCACCUUGCGCCCCUUGGUAUUCCGAGGGGCAUGCCUGUUUGAGUGUCAUUAAACCAUCAACCUCGGGGUUUUCGAGCCUUGGGGAUUGGAGUUGGAGUGUGCUGGUGGAAACCCCCAUCGGCUCCUCUCAAAUGCAUAAGCGGGAAACCCUUUACUUCCGAAAGUCGGUGUGAUAAGGAUUUGUUACGCCGUCGCAUAGGGACUUUGAAGGCCGCUCACAAUGGUCUUCGGACGACGUCUAUCAAACUUGACCUCAAAUCAGGUAGGACUACCCGCUGAACUUAAGCAUAUCAAUAAGCGGAGGA
rnacentral:misc_RNA from 1 species